rnacentral:lncRNA from 1 species
GGAAGGCGGAAUUUAGGGGAUCGUAUACAGAUGGAGCUGCCAGGUAACUGGCCUUAUUUCCUAGGGGCCUCUCACAGUUAAGAAAAAUCUUGGCCAGUUUUCCUGUUUGAGGUUCCUAGUGUAUUUUAAAGCCAUUAGACAGAAGACUGUAAGAGACAGAAGACAGAGCCAGGAGACAGAAGGCUGUGAUUCUUGCAAGAUGGGAAAUGGAUAACCAACUAGCACAUGAUGAUGAAAAGAGGAUGCCGUGUCCUUUGCCUUCUGUCAACUGUGGAGGAUGUGUGAAAACAAGUGCUAACAUGUGGCCACCGGAGAAACUUCCGGAGAAACUUCCGGGGAAACGCCCUGUGCUUCCAGACCAUUGGGAGGCAGCCUCCUCACUGAUGGGUCCCUGCAGGGAAGGCCCAGACUCCUCAGGCCUUAUCCUCGUCCUCUUCCAUGCUGCCCUAAAUCUUGAGUCAAGUUCAGUAGCACAUCCUAUCAUUAGAAGCUCUGGAGAAUUAGAAGUGACAGCAGAAAACAAGGCAGGAGGUACUUCCACAGAAGCAGCAACUGAUUUGAGGUGGCCUGCAAUGUUUGAUGGAAAGACCUUCAAAUGA